rnacentral:rRNA from 1 species
AAGGAGGUGAUCCAGCCGCACCUUCCGGUACGGCUACCUUGUUACGACUUCGUCCCAAUCGCCAAUCCCACCUUCAACGGCUCCCUCCACAAGGGUUAGGCCACCGGCUUCGGGUGUUACCGACUUUCAUGACGUGACGGGCGGUGUGCACAAGGCCCGGGAACGUAUUCACCGCAGCGUUGCUGAUCUGCGAUUACUAGCGACUCCGACUUCAUGGGGUCGAGUUGCAGACCCCAAUCCGAACUGAGACCGGCUUUAAGAGAUUCGCUCCGCCUCACGGCAUCGCAGCCCUCUGUACCGGCCAUUGUAGCAUGUGUGAAGCCCUGGACAUAAGGGGCAUGAUGAUUUGACGUCAUCCCCACCUUCCUCCGAGUUGACCCCGGCAGUCUCUCACGAGUCCCCACCAUAACGUGCUGGCAACAUAAGACAAGGGUUGCGCUCGUUGCGGGACUUAACCCAACAUCUCACGACACGAGCUGACGACAACCAUGCACCACCUGUAUAGAAGCCACAAGGGAAACCACAUCUCUGUAGCGAUCCUCUAUAUGUCAAGCCCAGGUAAGGUUCUUCGCGUUGCAUCGAAUUAAUCCACAUGCUCCGCCGCUUGUGCGGGCCCCCGUCAAUUUCUUUGAGUUUUAGCCUUGCGGCCGUACUCCCCAGGCGGGGCGCUUAAUGCGUUAGCUACGGCGCGGAGCCCGUGGAAGGAACCCCACACCUAGCGCCCACCGUUUACGGCAUGGACUACCAGGGUAUCUAAUCCUGUUCGCUACCAUGCUUUCGCUCCU